AAUGAACGUUGGCGGCGUGGAUUAGGCAUGCAAGUCGAGCGCGAACCGUAGCAAUACGGCCAGAGCGGCGAAAGGGAGAGUAACACGUGGAUACCUACCCUCGGGUUCGGGAUAGCUACGGGAAACUGUAGGUAAUACCGAAUAACAUCUCCGGAUCAAAGGUGUGAUUCCGCCCGGGGAGGGUCCGCGUCCUAUUAGCUUGUUGGCGAGGUAACGGCUCACCAAGGCGAAGAUGGGUAUGGGGUGUGAGAGCAUGCCCCCACUCACUGGGACUGAGACACUGCCCAGACACCUACGGGUGGCAG
rnacentral:rRNA from 1 species